rnacentral:misc_RNA from 1 species
UCCGGGUUGGACCCGGCGGUCCCGCCAGACAUGGUAACUGGCAGCGAGGGUUGCGCUCGUUGCGGGACUUAACCCAACACCUCACGGCACGAGCUGACGACAGCCAUGCAGCAUCUGUGCACGCUCCCUUGCGGGUCCUUCCCCUUUCGGGGUCGUACCACGUGCAUGUCAAGCCCAGGUAAGGUUCUUCGCGUUGCGUCGAAUUAAUCCGCAUGCUCCGCCGCUUGUGGUUUAAUUCGAAGCAACGCGCAGAACCUUACCAACCUUUGACAUGUCCGGUAUGGGGAGUGGAGACAUUCCUCUUCAGUUCGGCUGGCCGGAACACAGGUGCUGCAUGGCUGUCGUCAGC